rnacentral:rRNA from 1 species
UACGAAGGGUGCAAGCGUUACUCGGAAUUACUGGGCGUAAAGCGUGCGUAGGCGGUUCGUUAAGUCUGACGUGAAAUCCCCGGGCUCAACCUGGGACGUGCGUUGGAAACUGGCGAUCUAGAGUACGGUAGAGGGUGGUGGAAUUCCCGGUGUAGCAGUGAAAUGCGUAGAGAUCGGGAGGAACACUCGUGGCGAAGGCGGCCACCUGGACCAGUACUGACGCUGAGGCACGAAAGCGUGGGGAGCAAACAGGAUUAGAUACCCUGGUAGUCCACGCCCUAAACGAUGCGAACUGGAUGUUGGGCUCACUUCGGAGCUCAGUAUCGAAGCUAACGCGUUAAGUUCGCCGCCUGGGGAGUACGGUCGCAAGACUG